ensembl:lncRNA LINC02700 long intergenic non-protein coding RNA 2700
GUACUGUGUUUAAUGAAGUGUGCCCAGGACUUUGCUCAGUGACUGGAUGACACAGUAGGAGUAACAAGAAAGUUCACAUGGGUGAACCGUGGUAGGUGGACAUCGUCUCUCUCACCUCUUCCCAAAUCAAGGAUGAAGUACAUCUUCAUAAAUCCUCAUGUGAAUUAUUUUGCUACCUCUAGAAGCAUUUUCUAAAACAAGGUGCAGCAAUCAGUUGAGUGAAUUUGUCACCAGAGCUUAUGUUUUCUGAAAGAACCCUAUCCUCAGGCAGUUGUUCCUAAGAGGACCCCACUGGAAAUCGGACUGUUCAACUCACCUGGCAGCCACUCACAGAGCCCGUGGAACUCUGGCCCAAGGCUCUCUGACUCCUUCUCGGCUUAGCGGCUAAAGACUGACACUGCCCGAUCGCCUCGGAAGCCCCGUAGACCAUCACGGACGCCGAGCUUUAGGUAACUCUCACAGUGGAGGAUGAAGAAACUGAGGUCCAGAGAAGUUAAACGACCUUCCUAAGAUUACACAGCUUAGUAAGUGGCAGAACCACAGCUGGAAGCCAGGUCCUUCCUCACGCAAGUCCUGGCUCAUUCAUUCCUCUUCCAAAGACUUGCUGAGCACCUUCUAGGUGCCAGAUGCGGUGCUGGCUCCUGGGGACAUGGGAGUGAACAGGCCAGGCGUGGCCCUGAACCAUCAAAUAGACAACCACAGAAAUAACAACAACAAAGACAAAACCGGGCCCUUCCACACAGUAGCUGGAACACAAAGGAAGAUCAGCCAAGCCUCAACAUAAUCUCAUAAAAAUUCUUCAAAUAUCCCAUUGUUAUGGAUUCAUACAUCAGGAAAGCAGAUGCCAAGAACCUGAACACCUUCUACUGGUAACAUAUAUUUUGGCGAGCCAGCCUGGAGACAAGACCACUAUGGGCAACUUCCUGUCUAUUCUACCUGGUGUCACUGUGGACAACUUCCUAUCUAUUCCACCCGAUUCACCGCUUGGCUACAUCCUCCACCAUUGGGAUGAAUUUGACCCUAACAAUCUAAAGAAAAGGCAUAUGAUUUUUUACUGCAA